rnacentral:rRNA from 1 species
UACGUAGGGCGCAAGCGUUGUCCGGAAUUAUUGGGCGUAAAGAGCUCGUAGGCGGCUUGUCGCGUCGGCUGUGAAAACCUAGGGCUCAACCCUGGGCCUGCAGCCGAUACGGGCAAGCUAGAAUUCGGUAGGGGAGACUGGAAUUCCUGGUGUAGCGGUGAAAUGCGCAGAUAUCAGGAGGAACACCGGUGGCGAGGGCGGGUCUCUGGGCCGAUAUUGACGCUGAGGAGCGAAAGCGUGGGGAGCGAACAGG